rnacentral:lncRNA from 1 species
GUUAAAACAUCUCUUCAACAAAAAUUAGAAAAAAAAUAAAACAGAAUACUAGUACCAUACCUGUUCUAUAACAAACCAAAAUUAUUACUACUGCACAAUAACAUCAACCUUCUUCUCAUAGUCCAAAUUUUCACCAUUCAAAUCCUUGCACUGCAUAUACAACUUAACAUUCCCCUCAAGAUAGUUAUUCAUCAUCUCAAAUCCCCAGUAUGAAUAGAUCACAGGCAGCGACAUCAUGACCAUUCGUCUCAACAGAUCAUCCUUCAUUGCAAACAUUACGAUUAAAAACAAUUUGACCAAACCAACAAUACUUAUCCCCAUCACAAUCCAGUAAAACAACACCAAUUCCAACGCUUUCCAUAUCUUCCUCUUUACCAAAUUUGUGUUGGGAAUAAAUAAAAAUAAUAGUACUAUACAACUGUGAACAAAAUAUUAUUUUGAUAAUAUUAACAAUACAAUAUGACAGUGUAUAUAUAUUUAUUAUACUUGAAUCAUGCUGGGUACUGUCCUAAGAAACUAUUUCAGCAGUGUGAAAUGUUUCACUAGGAUUAAACAAGCACUUCUCUAAAUAUUUAGAGGAUACAGGAAUCAACAAAACUAUUAAUACAAAUACCAACAAGUUAAUUUGGAAACUGAUAUAACUAAUAAUAAGGUUUGUAUAAUAGUAAUGGAAAAGUAAAUGAAAUGGAAAAGAAGAAUUAUUUAAACAAAGUGUGUGUUAUUGUUUUUUC